UUAUCGUUUAUUUGAUAGUACCUUACUACAUGGAUAACCGUGGUAAUUCUAGAGCUAAUACAUGCUAAAAACCCCGACUCACGAAGGGGUGUAUUUAUUAGAUAAAAAACCAAUGCCCUUUGGGCUUCAUGGUGAAUCAUAAUAACUUAACGAAUCGCAUGGCCUUGCGCCGGCGAUGGUUCAUUCAAAUUUCUGCCCUAUCAACUUUCGAUGGUAGGAUAGUGGCCUACCAUGGUAUCAACGGGUAACGGGGAAUUAGGGUUCUAUUCCGGAGAGGGAGCCUGAGAAACGGCUACCACAUCCAAGGAAGGCAGCAGGCGCGCAAAUUACCCAAUCCCGACACGGGGAGGUAGUGACAAUAAAUACUGAUACAGGGCUCUUUUGGGUCUUGUAAUUGGAAUGAGUACAAUUUAAAUACCUUAACGAGGAACAAUUGGAGGGCAAGUCUGGUGCCAGCAGCCGCGGUAAUUCCAGCUCCAAUAGCGUAUAUUAAAGUUGUUGCAGUUAAAAAGCUCGUAGUUGAACCUUGGGCCUGGCUGGCCGGUCCGCCUCACCGCGUGUACUGGUCCGGCCGGGCCUUUCCUUCUGGGGAACCGCAUGCCCUUCACUGGGCGUGUGUGGGAACCAGGACUUUUACUUUGAAAAAAUUAGAGUGUUCAAAGCAGGCCUUUGCUCGAAUACAUUAGCAUGGAAUAAUAGAAUAGGACGUGUGGUUCUAUUUUGUUGGUUUCUAGGACCGCCGUAAUGAUUAAUAGGGAUAGUCGGGGGCAUCUGUAUUCAAUUGUCAGAGGUGAAAUUCUUGGAUUUAUUGAAGACAAACUACUGCGAAAGCAUUUGCCAAGGAUGUUUUCAUUAAUCAGUGAACGAAAGUUAGGGGAUCGAAGACGAUCAGAUACCGUCGUAGUCUUAACCAUAAACUAUGCCGACUAGGGAUCGGGGGGUGUUAUCAUUUUGACCUCCU
rnacentral:rRNA from 1 species